rnacentral:lncRNA from 1 species
GGAAAACAUGUCUGUCUGCCAUUUGACCCAGUGGUUGGGAUUCAGAUGCUUGGGGUUGCUGUUCUUCAUAUUCUAUAAGGUGCUAGUGGAAGCAGUUUAAGGAUCUAAUAGGUGUAUAUUCGUGAAUUUGUUACACAAGAUUCUUACCUUUGAUGAAAGUAUAGGGCUCCUCAUGGAGUUCCCCUGUUCUGAUAACCUGGGGUUUUACAAUGAAACUGAAAGUGCAGAGUUGAGUUGACCAAACAACACAGAACUGCAUUCUACUUAAAAUCACAAGUGACCGGAUUUGUCUGGUGUGUCAGUGGAAUGUCCCCAACCUCCUCCUGUACAGGGUACACCUGGGCGCUGUCCUCCCCAGCACCGGUCAGCUUACCUGGCUGGUGAGUUAGGGGCAGCUCUCAGGUCCUCCAGUUCUUGUAGACAGACCUUCCCUUCCGGGGGUGAUUUCUUAUUAGGAAUUACCUAGGAUCCCUGAUGGCCAAAAAGAGUUAUGCCCGUUCCUGGCAUACUGGAAUAGCUUACAUACCAGGUAAAAUCUAAAACCUUCACUGUCCCUGUGCAUUAAUAAGAUAUAAUGGUUAGGCUUGUGCUUUUCAUACUAAAGGGCUUGCUCCCCUCAGCAGGAUUCUGGCAAAGUUCUUCUCAGGUGGAUCUAGCCGUGGGCCGUGACCUCUUUUUGGUUUCGAAGAGAGCCAAGGUUCACCCCCAGACAGCCCCAAGCUUCCCUGGUUGUAACGAUUUUGAGGAAAUUGUAAACAUUCUCGGUCCGGCGCCAGGCGAACCCGGUGGUCGUGAGCAUGCGCGGGCGUCGGGGGCGCGGUGCAUGCUGGGUUUAAAGAUGGCUUCCACCGCCUCGUGCCCCUGGAAGUCCGUCACCUCGGAAGCAGAGGACAGGUGUUCAGCUGCCGGGGAUCCUGUGGAGAGCCAGCGGAGUGAGAACCGUGAGAGCUUGGCGCCUUGCGCACAAAUUGGGGGUGGUUGGGACCUCGGCUGCAGUUGCCGCCCGUCUCAGCCGCAGUCUCCCCUCGCUCAGUAUCCCGGCCUCAGAGCUUCUUCACGCUCGCGUCUGCCGCCACAGGAUACACAAGCGAGCAUACGUUGGCUUUUACAAGAUGCAUAUUUUUUGGAACCGGGUUACCACUCUCCUGCUUCUCUAAAACCUGGAAUUCAGAAUAAUUCUAGAUGGUGGAAACACCCCAAGAUACGUGUUUAG